AUUGAACGCUGGCGGCAGGCUUAACACAUGCAAGUCGAGCGGGGUGAUGGUGCUUGCACUAUCACUUAGCGGCGGACGGGUGAGUAAUGCUUAGGAAUCUGCCUAUUAGUGGGGGACAACAUCUCGAAAGGGAUGCUAAUACCGCAUACGUCCUACGGGAGAAAGCAGGGGAUCACUUGUGACCUUGCGCUAAUAGAUGAGCCUAAGUCGGAUUAGCUAGUUGGUGGGGUAAAGGCCUACCAAGGCGACGAUCUGUAGCGGGUCUGAGAGGAUGAACCGCCACAAUGGGACUGGGACACGGCCCAGACUCCUACGGGAGGCAGCAGUGGGGAAUAUUGGACAAUGGGGGGAACCCUGAUCCAGCCAUGCCGCGUGUGUGAAGAAGGCCUUACGGUUGUAAAGCACUUUAAGCGAGGAGGAGGCUCUUUUGGUUAAUACCCAAGAUGAGUGGACGUUACUCGCAGAAUAAGCACCGGCUAACUCUGUGCCAGCCGCCGCGGUAAAAC
rnacentral:rRNA from 1 species